GUCUGGGUGUCGGCAGGUUGACUUCUCUGACUGAAGAGGGGAAUAAUUGCGAGGAUAUCCUUAGUGAUGAACUCAAAGAAGCAAUUACGUAACAAACAAGCAGAGCACCAACAGGAAUUUAGCUCUCUUGAGGCGAGGAAGCUACGAUACCUGUGGUUUCCAGUUCAAAAAUCUCUUUUUCCCCAAUACUUGCCAUUUCACGGGCAGGAAUGAUCUAUCUUCUUUUUCUCCGCAGACACGCGCAUGCAAACCGAGGCUUGAGGAUUAGCGGGACUAAUCAAAAGCUGGUACAGUACAAAGCGUCGAUAUUGGCUUGUCUGCGAGACGCCUUCGGUUUGAUCACGUCGCUCCGGCAGAAGACAGAGUCCCAAAGCAAGUUUCUUCCCCACGCUGCCGUCUCCGCUGUCCUUAACGCCGCCUCUUCCUCUCUCUCACAACCUUCGCUCUUCUUUUCUUCCCUUCCCUUUCUUCAUUCCUCUCUCAUUAUUCUCAUUCACUCUCUUCUCCCUCGCAGACUUUCGCCGGCGCUUCAUUUGCAACAGCGUCCCCCCCGGGUCAGCCGGGGUGGGUGUGGUACCGAAUGUGAAGUAAUCUCACUUGCUUGAUUCCAUCAAUCCUCUUUUUCACCCGGGGUUUUGAACACCUCAAUCAAAACCACCCCUCAAGGUCGCCUUUGUAGCGUGCUCGGCAGAUUAAGUCCCCCGUCCGCGUGCGGCGUGUGCUUUGAACCGGAGACGUCACCCGGAGAGAAAGAUAAAGAAGCGAGGGAGGGGAGGGAGAGGAAGGCCCGGGCUACUGCUGAGAUGGAAGAACUUUGGCUUUUCCCCUUUCGCGAGGAUAUUCUGUUUUAAAAAGCAGCAGAGAUAAACAUUCAAGGUCGAACAAACAUUUGUUCUCAUUUAGAAAUGUGCGGGCCCAAUAUACAGCGAAUAGACACAGCAUACAACGGCGUUAUCGGAAAUCGGAACUUGUGCAACGUGGUUUUCCCGCGGCGCCCCCGCCGAGGUCCUAGCGCGCUGUCGUCGACACUUCAGCGCCUGGAAACCGCUCCAGGUACCGUACCAGGUACCGUACCAGGUACCGUUCGUGGAGCGAGGCGUUGUGGUUGGAAGGGACGGGCGUUGUGAAUGGUCUGCUGGACGUGGUGCUCAAUUUACACCAGUCUAUCAUCUGGCACAAUGUUAGAGAGAGAGAGAGAGAGGAGUGAGGAGCUAGAGGAGUGAGGCGCCCACGUUGUCUUCCUCAUGAACUGAAUACCAACCGAGCGCCGGGAGUGUUUCCCCCCCGCGUCUUUCUCUCACUGCGGAACGAUUGUUUGCAGAACCCUCCACCCCGGCCUCUCCACAGUCACAGCAUACCUCACGUUUUAAGGCC
ensembl:lncRNA